rnacentral:rRNA from 1 species
UACAACUUUCAACAAUGGAUCUCUUGGUUCUGGCAUCGAUGAAGAACGCAGCGAAAUGCGAUAAGUAGUGUGAAUUGCAGAAUUCAGUGAAUCAUCGAAUCUUUGAACGCACAUUGCGCCCCUUGGUAUUCCAUGGGGCAUGCCUGUUCGAGCGUCAUC